UUCAAGUAAUCCAGGAUAGGCUGUCUGUCCUGGAGGCCUAUUCAUGAUUACUUGCACU
rnacentral:pre_miRNA from 3 species